CGGGGAAAGAAGACCCUGUUGAGCUUGACUCUAGUCAGACUUUGUGAAUUGAUUUGGGAGGUGUAGCAUAAGUGGGAGAUGCAAAUCGUCGAUGAAAUACCACUACUCCUGAUGUCAAUUUACUUAUUUCGUUGGUUCGACUCGUGGCCUUUUGGUCAUCUGUUUCUGGACUUGCACCCUGUUGUCAGGGUCAUCGACGCGAGAGACCAAGUCUGGUGGGGAGUUUGGCUGGGGCGGCACAUCUGUUAAAUGAUAACGCAGGUGUCCUAAGGUGAGCUCAAUGAGAACAGAAAUCUCAUGUUGACCAAAAGGGGAAAAGCUCGCUUGAUUUUGAUUUUCAGUACGAAUACAAACUGUGGA
rnacentral:rRNA from 13 species